GGGGGGGAGGCGGGGGCCACGUCCAGGACGACGAUCAACCUGUUGAGACGGUGCGUGACGUCAUUUAUGGACGGCCCCUAACCGCGCGAGGAGGGCAGCGGGAACAGCGUUGGGGAACCCAAGCAAGCGUGCGACACAACGCGGGCUGGCGGCAAGUCCCCGCACCCCAGGGACGUGCGGUCAGGGGAGGUAGAGCCUCAGCUGUCAUACUCCAGCGCCUGCCGAUGGUCAGCAACUUCGUUCUGCGCCCUCUGCAUUCUCUUCUCGGCCUGCUCGGCCAUCUCGCACAGCUGCGUGAAAACCGACAACAGCAAAGAGC